rnacentral:lncRNA from 1 species
UGCCACAUCAUAUCCGAUCACAGAACAGCCAUGCACUUCGGGUCUACUGUGUGACUGGUCCGCCGCACCGGCCAACAGUCCACCUGGUCCACCCUCCGAGUCUAGCCAUAUACAUCGAGUAUGCAGUGUGAUUGGUCCGCCCGCACCGAGCCUUCAAUCGACCUGGUCCACUCUCUGAGUCUACAGUAUGACUGGUCUGCCCGCACCCGGCCUUCAGUCGGCCUGUUCCACUCUCCGAGCCUUGAAAUGUCUGGUCCGCCCUCUUGGGACCUACAGCCUAUCUGGACCGCUCGCUAGGCCUUCGGGACAACCGGUCCGCCCUGGGUAUCUUGGCCUACAGUACAAAGCAGGACCCGCCUCAACCUAACUCAAGUCCAAAUAACCAUGUGCACAUAAACAUACAAUCAUAUCACAAUUCACAGUCAACAAGCCGAUCAAACAGAUCACAUAACAUAUCAUCAUCCAAACAAGGAUACCGAGCUAACCGGUCACUAGCAUAGCAUCACCCUACAUAUCAGGAUAUCGACCUCAACCAGGUCUCUAACAUAUACUAUCCUAGCUACCAGGAUGCAAACAUAUCAAAGCAAUAACAUAACAACAAAUACUCGGAUCUCAAUCCGAUAAAGGGAUGGCCAUGGUGCCUUAGACCCUAUUGAUAUAGUGAGGAUAACUCACCUCGCACUGCCGAAACUCUGAACUGAAGAAGCAGAUUCCCGAAUCACCGCCUCACCGAAAAUGCCGAACUAGCCAACAUAGCACAGAUUAUCAUUAGGCUAAGCACAAUACUCUUCCAAGGGUAAAUUGACCAAUUUACCCUUAACUUAUUUAGGCCCAACACUAGAUAAACUCUCAAGCCCACUAAUGGCCCAAAGUCGAGAAGUCCAAAGAAAAGCCCACUGUUGGCCCAAUUUACAAAAUUGGGCCCACCCCACCAAAUGGGCCUAAACUCAUGAUCCAUAACAACCAAUGGGCCCACAAUACUCUAUCCAUAAUGUCCAGUCACGGCCCAAAAUCCAGCAGCCCAAUAACAGCCCAAACUAUAAGGCCUAAAUUGAAAAUGCCACAGAUGGGGUACGCUGGGCGUACCCUUCUUGGUACGCUGGGCGUACAACCAUGCUCGCGACAUGGGAUUGGGACACUGGCCCGCUACGCUGGGCGUACUCAUAGGUUACGCGGGGCGUAACCUCACAGCUCAACAACAUCCCAUAACGUCUUAAUGGAUUAAGCUCUUAAGCCUAAACUUCAGAUCCUUAGGCCAAAUAUGCCUAAGAUUCAUAAAGUCUCAAACUUUAUCACUUGGGACGUCCAUAAAGCUCUUAAUCCAAGGUCUUAAUCCAUUAAGACCCACAUAUCUCUCACAUGGAACAACAACAGCCCUUGGGACCUCAUUUUUCUCACUCAAGACCUCUCCAAAGGUCCGAAAGGACAGAUAAUCUCGACCAACUCAAAACAUGCAUCAAGAUGAGGACUUUUGGGACAAGAAUGGUGUCAAAGCUUUACAAUACAUAGAUCUACACAAUAUGUAUGUCAAGCAAGAAGCUUUAUACCUCAAAUAGGCUCCAAAGGAUGAUGUCUUCCCAGAUCUAUAAGCUCCAACAGUUCCUCUCCUUCUUUGACAACUUCUCCUUUCUUCCUUUAUGCUCUUCUUUGCUAAUCCAAGCUUUUCAAGACCAAACACACCCAAUCAAGGAGGUGGGAUGGCUAUCUUAGGGUUUUUGAGGUUAAGAGGGUGAUUAUGGAGGCUAAGGAGGAAGCCUUUAUGUUCUUUAUAUAGUGGUUGCCUUAAAAUUAGGGUUUUGGGGAUUCUGAGAGUACGUGGGGCGUACCUCUAGUAUGCUGGGCGUACUCCCCCAAACACCAGUGUUUCUUUCCUCCACUACGCUGGGCGUACGUCUAGCUGACGCUGAGCGUACCGAGCAUGACCUCUUUUCCAUGCAUGGUCUUUCCUUUCCACUUUUCCCAUAAAAGGACCAUCAUUACCCUUUCUCUUAAAUCUCAGGGACUCAUUCAUAAAUACUUUAAGAACGUAGGAGGCAUCGUAUUAUCAAAGUCCCGAUACUGAAAACCCCGACCAGCUCCUCCCCCUGCCGCUGCUACAGCCGCUGUAGCCGCGGCGGCAGCCGUCUCUGUGAGAGCUGGACAACGCUCAUCAAAAUACUCAACCAUGGCGGUCUUAAUCGACCAAAACAGUUACGGCAACUCGGCCCGAAACAACGCAGCAACCUCAUCAUGCAGGAUCUCACGAAUCCUAGCGUCCAACUCGCCUGUGCUCAUCUGACCAAUAACCUCGGGCGGUACUGACCCGCCUGGAACUCCCUCUCCUGCUCCCUCUCCUGACCCGGAUCCACUCCUUGCAUGCCUCGGAAUCUCCAUACUGAAAAACACCAUAAAAUCUCAGAUUCUUCCCACUAUCCUGGGAACCAACUCUAAAUCCAACCCUAGAGGUCAUGGUUUUCCUGAUAUGCGUAUGGGUCCUGUGGUUUCAGUAGUACGGGCCAAUAGUACCUUCCAGACCUACCCAUAUUUGUAUGAAGUACUACCAAAACACGCUAGUGAAAACAUACAAAACAAGCGCUCAACCCUCACUACUAGAGGAACACUAGAAAUCUCCCACAAGGAAACCCUAGGCUAACAGGCAUCAUAAAUCAGACAACAUUAUCAUGAAAUCCUGAAGAUCCCUAGCCUAGCACUAGCAUACUGUUCUAUCAAAGCUCAAAAACAAAUAUCAUGUAUUGUAUUUUGGGGUUACUUACUGGCUCCGGCUGAUCGUACCUCCGCGUCCUCCUUUACCCAUUUUGAAAGCCAUUUUAAAUUCUCUUUUGAAAACCCUCCUCGAUUUGAGACUGGAGUCACACAAGUGUUCCUCCAAUUCACUCAAACCAAGGCUCUGAUANGUGUAAUGACCGAAAAAUUCCAACCAAUUUAAAUUUUUCAAAAACAACCUGAUUUCAUUAACUUAUUACAAAAAGGUUUUCAAUACAAUUUAUUUAGAGUAUUCCCAGAAUCACAUCAUAACAUAAACAUGAGGAACGGUAGGAUCAUGCCUUCGCCUUCCCAUGGUCUCCUGAAAAACCUGAAAAACAUAACAUCACAACUGUAAGCCCGAAAGCUUAGUGAGAUAUCCCCAAAAUAACAACCACAUAUACCAUACACACAUAACAUGCCACAUCAUAUCCGAUCACAGAACAACCAUGCACUUCGGGUCUACUGUGUGACUGGUCCGCCGCACCGGCCAACAGUCCACCUGGUCCACCCUCCGAGUCUAGCCAUAUACAUCGAGUCUGCAGUGUGAUUGGUCCGCCCGCACCGGGCCUUCAAUCCACCUGGUCCACUCUCUGAGUCUACAGUAUGACUGGUCCGCCCGCACCGGGCCUUCAGUCGGCCUGGUCCACUCUCCGAGCCUCGGCACGUCUGGUCCGCCCUCUUGGGGCCUACAGCCUAUCCGGACCGCUCGCUGGGCCUUCGGGACAACCGGUCCGCCCUGGGUAUCUUGGCCUAUAGCACAAAGCAGGACCCGCCUCAACCCAACUCCAGUCCAAACAACCAUGUGCACAUAAACAUACAAUCGUAUAACAAUUCACAGUCAACAAACCGAUCAAACAGAUCACAUAACAUAUCAUCAUCCUAACUAGGAUACCGACCUAACCGGUCACUA